rnacentral:rRNA from 1 species
GAUGAACGCUGGCGGCGUGCCUAAUACAUGCAAGUCGAGCGAAUGGAUUAAGAGCUUGCUCUUAUGAAGUUAGCGGCGGACGGGUGAGUAACACGUGGGUAACCUGCCCAUAAGACUGGGAUAACUCCGGGAAACCGGGGCUAAUACCGGAUAACAUUUUGAACCGCAUGGUUCGAAAUUGAAAGGCGGCUUCGGCUGUUACUUAUGGAUGGACCCGUGUCGCAUUAGCUAGUUGGUGAGGUAACGGCUCACCAAGGCAACGAUGCGUAGCCGACCUGAGAGGGUGAUCGGCCACACUGGGGCUGAGACACGGCCCAGACUCCUACGGGAGGCAGCAGUAGGGAAUCUUCCGCAAUGGACGAAAGUCUGACGGAGCAACGCCGCGUGAGUGAUGAAGGCUUUCGGGUCGUAAAACUCUGUUGUUAGGGAAGAACAAGUGCUAGUUGAAUAAGCUGGCACCUUGACGGUACCUAACCAGAAAGCCACGGCUAACUACGUGCCAGCAGCCGCGGUAA